GCGGCCGCCGGAGCCGCUAGGCGCAGAGGCAGCUCGCAAGUGUAGGGCAGGAGCUACAGGAACCAUCCAGGUGCACUGGCUUUGCCUCUGCAUCUUUCUGUGCCUCUGUCUCAUUCUGUUUCCAGCUGUGCAUGGAUGUGGAUGGCCCAGAAAGCAUGGAAAGGGAAUAAACUGGACUGAACUUCCUGCCCACCCUCUGUGACUAACAAGGGCCAUUGUGAUCUCUUUCCAGGUGGCGUGGACUCCUCCAG
rnacentral:lncRNA from 1 species